CGGGUAGCGGAACACGUACGCAACCUUCCUUUAACUGGAGAAUAGCCCCUCGAAAGAGGGAUUAAUACUCCGUAACAUCCCGAUGUGGCAUCACAACGGGAUUAUAGCUCCGGCGGUUAAAGAUGGGCGUGCGCCUGAUUAGAUAGUUGGCGGGGUAACGGCCCACCAAGUCUGCGAUCAGUAACUGGUGUGAGAGCACGACCAGUCACACGGGCACUGAGACACGGGCCCG
rnacentral:rRNA from 1 species